ensembl:lncRNA
ACUCCAUUAAUGGCAAAACAUCGACUCCGCGGUCCGGAGAGGAGGAAGAGGAGGAGGAGGAGGAGGAGGAGGAGGAGGGAGAAGGCAUUCUGAGCUGGGGCCGUUGGUGGGAGGAGCAGGCAGGCAGUUGGGUCACACACACCACCAGCGCAGGAGCCUCAAGUGCAGACAGCUGGGAAGACGGACAGCAAGAGAGAGAGAGAGAGAGAGAGAGAGGUAGGGACAGACAGAGAGAGAGAGAGAAAGAGAGAGAGGACACCAAGGGAAAAGCAGAGAAGAGCCUCAGGUUUCAGUCUUAGCCCCGUGGAACACACACGCACACACACACACAGACACAUACACACCCACACAUCCAUGGACCGAACGGCGUGACUGACAGACAGACUGACAGUCCGCCAGAAAUAGUCAUACAGGGAAAGAAAACUGCGAAAGAUAGGCCGGCCACGCACACACACACACACACACUUGGAAACAGUGUUCAUUUUUGACUUUGUAAGAGAGGUGUGCAGACGGGAGCCCGAGCUGUUGGACUGGAGAAGAAGGAGAGGAGACACCCUGGGGAGACCCCUCCACCCCCCCCCCCC